CAGUGAUGGCAUGCGAAUCUCGAAAGCCUAUCUCAGUUCGGAUUGGAGGCUGAAACCCGCCUCCAUGAAGUUGGAUUCGCUAGUAAUCGCGCAUCAGCCAUGGCGCGGUGAAUACGUUCCCGGGCCUUGUACACACCGCCCGUCAAGCCAUGGGAGCCGGGGGUGCCUGAAGUUCGUUACCGCAAGGAUCGACCUAGGGCAAAACUGGUGACUGGGGCUAAGUCGUAACAAGGUAUC
rnacentral:rRNA from 1 species